UAAGGAAUAUUGGUCAAUGGACGCAAGUCUGAACCAGCCAUGCCGCGUGGAGGAUGAAGGUCCUCUGGAUUGUAAACUUCUUUUAUCUGGGACGAAAAAAGGGAAUUCUUUCUCGUCUGACGGUACCAGAUGAAUAAGCACCGGCUAACUCCGUGCCAGCAGCCGCGGUAAUACGGAGGGUGCAAGCGUUAUCCGGAUUCACUGGGUUUAAAGGGUGCGUAGGCGGGUGUGUAAGUCCGUGGUGAAAUCUCCGAGCUUAACUCGGAAACUGCCAUGGGUACUGCAUGUCUUGAAUGUUGUGGAGGUGAGCGGAAUAUGUCAUGUAGCGGUGAAAUGCUUAGAUAUGACAUAGAACACCAAUUGCGAAGGCAGCUCACUACACAAAUAUUGACGCUGAGGCACGAAAGCGUGGGGAUCAAACA
rnacentral:rRNA from 2 species